UAGCAUGGGCGCAGCUGAUGCAGCCAUGCCGCGUGUAUGAAGAAGGCCUUAGGGUUGUAAAGUACUUUCAGCGGGGAGGAAGGUGAUAAGGUUAAUACCCUUAUCAAUUGACGUUACCCGCAGAAGAAGCACCGGCUAACUCCGUGCCAGCAGCCGCGGUAAUACGGAGGGUGCAAGCGUUAAUCGGAAUUACUGGGCGUAAAGCGCACGCAGGCGGUCAAUUAAGUCAGAUGUGAAAGCCCCGAGCUUAACUUGGGAAUUGCAUCUGAAACUGGUUGGCUAGAGUCUUGUAGAGGGGGGUAGAAUUCCAUGUGUAGCGGUGAAAUGCGUAGAGAUGUGGAGGAAUACCGGUGGCGAAGGCGGCCCCCUGGACAAAGACUGACGCUCAGGUGCGAAAGCGUGGGGAGCAAACAGGAUUAGAUACCC
rnacentral:rRNA from 1 species